GCCUGGCGGCCUGAGCGGUGUGGAAGAACCCGAUCCCAUCUCGAACUCGGCCGUUAAACACACCAGCGCCGAUGGUACUGUGUCUCAAGACACGGGAGAGUCGGUCGCCGCCAGGCCC
rnacentral:rRNA from 1 species